rnacentral:rRNA from 1 species
AUAGCUUUAGGGCUAGCCUCAAGGUGAGAGAUACGGAGGUAGAGCACUGAAUGUCCUAGGGGGUAUUGCACCUACCGAAGACUAUCAAACUCCGAAUGCCGUCAUCUUAUACUUGGGAGUCAGACUGUGGGUGAUAAGAUUCAUAGUCGAAAGGGCAACAGCCCAGAUCGUCAGCUAAGGUCCCUAAAUGUAAGUUAAGUGGUAAAGGAUGUGGGAUUGCACAGACAACCAGGAUGUUGGCUUAGAAGCAGCCACUCAUUCAAAGAGUGCGUAAUAGCUCACUGGUCGAGUGAUCCUGCGCCGAAGAUUUCCGGGGCUAAAACUUACUACCGAAGCUACGGCAUCAGUAAUGAUGGGUAGGGGAGCUUCCCAUACGGGUUGAAGCAUGACCGUAAGGACAUGUGGACAGUAUGGGAGUGGGAAUGUUGGCAUGAGUAGCGAGAUGUGGGUGAGAAUCCCACAGGCCGUAAACCCAAGGUUUCCAGGGGAAGGUUCGUCCGCCCUGGGUUAGUCGGGACCUAAGCUGAGGCCGAAAGGCGUAGGUGAUGGACAACAGGUUGAUAUUCCUGUACUACCGAU